AUUGAACGCUGGCGGCAGGCUUAACACAUGCAAGUCGAGCGGGGUGAUGGUGCUUGCACUAUCACUUAGCGGCGGACGGGUGAGUAAUGCUUAGGAAUCUGCCUAUUAGUGGGGGACAGCAUCUCGAAAGGGAUGCUAAUACCGCAUACGUCCUACGGGAGAAAGCAGGGGAUCACUUGUGACCUUGCGCUAAUAGAUGAGCCUAAGUCGGAUUAGCUAGUUGGUGGGGUAAAGGCCUACCAAGGCGACGAUCUGUAGCGGGUCUGAGAGGAUGAUCCGCCACACUGGGACUGAGACACGGCCCAGACUCCUACGGGAGGCAGCAGUGGGGAAUAUUGGACAAUGGGGGGAACCCUGAUCCAGCCAUGCCGCGUGUGUGAAGAAGGCCUUAUGGUUGUAAAGCACUUUAAGCGAGGAGGAGGCUCUUUUGGUUAAUACCCAAGAUGAGUGGACGUUACUCGCAGAAUAAGCACCGGCUAACUCUGUGCCAGCCGCAGCAGUAA
rnacentral:rRNA from 1 species